rnacentral:rRNA from 1 species
GACGAACGCUGGCGGCGUGCCUAAUACAUGCAAGUAGAACGCUGAAGGAGGAGCUUGCUCUUCUGGAUGAGUUGCGAACGGGUGAGUAACGCGUAGGUAACCUGCCUGGUAGCGGGGGAUAACCAUUGGAAACGAUAGCUAAUACCGCAUAACAUUGACUAUUGCAUGAUAGUCAAUUGAAAGGUGCAAUUGCACCACUACCUGAUGGACCUGCGUUGUAUUAGCUAGUUGGUGGGGUAACGGCUCACCAAGGCGACGAUACAUAGCCGACCUGAGAGGGUGAUCGGCCACACUGGGACUGAGACACGGCCCAGACUCCUACGGGAGGCAGCAGUAGGGAAUCUUCGGCAAUGGACGGAAGUCUGACCGAGCAACGCCGCGUGAGUGAAGAAGGUUUUCGGAUCGUAAAGCUCUGUUGUAAGAGAAGCUCGAGUGUAGAAGUGAA